GAAAGUAAAAGUCGUAACAAGGUCUCCGUUGGUGAACCAGCGGAGGGAUCAUUACCGAGUUUACAACUCCCAAACCCCUGUGAACAUACCUAUCGUUGCCUCGGCGGUGCCCGCUCCGGCGGCCCGCCAGAGGACCCCCAAACUCUUGUUUUAUACAGUAUCUUCUGAGUAACACGAUUAAAUAAAUCAAAACUUUCAACAACGGAUCUCUUGGUUCUG
rnacentral:misc_RNA from 1 species